ACUUUAUUUAAAGUGAGAGUACAUGUAUUUAAUUUCGUAAUAUAUUUAUCCUAAUAAUAGAAUCUUUAUUCAUCAAAUUGUUCACGUAUAAUGAUGUAAUUAUAAAACACACCAAAUAAAACUAAAAAACUCACCAAUUGGAAUUACAUAAACACACCAAAUAAAAUUACAUAAACAUACGAAAUAAUAAAAAACUCACUACAAAAAACACACCAAAUAAAAUUACAUAAACACACCAAAUACAAACAAACAUACUAAAUAAACUUAAGUAUCUUCAACUUGUUUCAAUGCCCACUGGUGCUCUAUCAAGUCAAUUUGCCGAUCAUUGUGCAUAGAUGACCUUUGAAGUGCAGUAUAUCGUUAAAUGACCCUUUCAUUGUAACGUCCAUCCCUUUCUAAUGGCUCGUGUUGCACGGGUUCU
rnacentral:lncRNA from 1 species